GCUUAGCUGAGGAGUCCCACAAUAGGAUGAAACGGCCGUCCUAUGC
rnacentral:hammerhead_ribozyme from 1 species